GUCGAACGAAAAAUUCUAGCUCGCUAGAAUGGAAAGUGGCGAAAGGGUGAGUAACACGUGAAUAAUCUACCUUCAAGUCGGGGAUAGCCUUUGGAAACGAAGAUUAAUACCGGAUGUGAAUAUGAAAUCGCAUGGUUUUAUAUUUAAAAUUAUUUUGCUUGAAGAUGAGUUCGCGUCCUAUUAGCUAGUUGGUGGGGUAAUGGCCUACCAAGGCGAUGACAGGUAGGUGGUCUGAGAGGAUGGUCACCCACACUGGGACUGAGACACUGCCCAGACUCCUACGGGAGGCUGCAGUCGAGAAUCUUCCGCAAUGAGCGAAAGCUUGACGGAGCGAUGCCGCGUGAGGGAUGAAGGCUUUCGGGUCGUAACCUCUGUCACUCGGAACGAAGAUCUGACGGUACCGAGAGAGGAAGCCACGGCUAACUACGUGCCAGCAGCCGCGGUAAUACGUAGGUGGCAAGCGUUAUUCGGAUUUAUUGGGCGUAAAGGGUCCGUAGGGGGGUUGUUAAGUCUGAUGUGAAAGCCAACGGCUCAACCGUUGAACUGCAUUGGAAACUGACAAACUAGAGUAUCGGAGAGGUAAGUGGAAUUCUUGGUGUAGCGGUGGAAUGCUUAGAUAUCAGAAGGAACACCAAAGGCGAAGGCAGCUUUCUGGAUUGAUACUGACCCUGAGGGACGAAAGCGUGGGUAGCAAACAGGAUUAGAUACCCUGGUAGUCCACGCUGUAAACGGUCUACACUAGAUGUGGGAGGAUUUGACCCUUUCCGUGUCUUAGCUAACGCAUUAAGUAUACCGCCUGGGGAGUACGGUCGCAAGACUAAAACUCAAAGGAAUUGACGGGGGCCCGCACAAGCGGUGGAGCAUGUGGCUUAAUUCGAGGCAACGCGAAGAACCUUACCUGGAUUUGACAUAUAUCUGACCGUUUUAGAGAUAAAACCUUCUUUCGAGACAGAUAUACAGGUGCUGCAUGGCUGUCGUCAGCUCGUGCCGUGAGGUGUUCGGUUAAGUCCGGCAACGAGCGCAACCCAUAUCACUAGUUACCAGCGCGUAAUGGCGGGGACUCUAGAGAGACUGCCCGAGUCAAUCGGGAGGAAGGCGUGGACGACGUCAAGUCAGUAUGGCCCUUACACCCAGGGCUGCACACGUGCUACAAUGGCCACUACAGAAGGCAGCAAUACCGCGAGGUGGAGCAAUCCGAGAAAAGUGGCCCCAGUUCGGAUUGGAGUCUGCAACUCGACUCCAUGAAGUCGGAAUCGCUAGUAAAGGCGUAUCAGCUACGACGCCUUGAAUACGUUCCCGGGCCUUGUACACACCGCCCGUCACAUCACGGGAGCCUGGUGCACCCGAAGCCUCUGUACCAACCC
rnacentral:rRNA from 1 species